AGCAUGAGUAGUUUGUUCCGAAAUACUAGCGUUGGGAUUGCUGUUCGCCAUCAUGCAAUCGGCCCUCCGUGCCACCCCUGGGGUUUUUAAUGCCACUCGUGCCCACACUCAAGUGUUUUGAAGAAUGUAAAAUCCAGUGUGUGAUAAACAUGUGUAAAGAAACCUUUCGUAAGAAGCCAGAAGAACUUUACAACAAUCUUGGACUGGGAGAUGGAGGCCAUCAUAAACUUCUUGUAGGAUGAGUUGCCGCAGACAGAGAUGAAAACCAUGAUGAAUGUCCGUGAGCCAGAGGCUAUGAUUUGUUUAGUACAACAAUGCGAGGGACUUAACAAAAUUGAGGCGGAAAUAUUCUUGAGGAAGUGUCGGUGCAU